UACGUAGGGUGCAAGCGUUGUCCGGAAUUAUUGGGCGUAAAGAGCUCGUAGGCGGCUUGUCGCGUCGACUGUGAAAACUUGGGGCUCAACCCCAAGCUUGCAGUCGAUACGGGCAGGCUAGAGUUCGGUAGGGGAGACUGGAAUUCCUGGUGUAGCGGUGAAAUGCGCAGAUAUCAGGAGGAACACCGGUGGCGAAGGCGGGACUCUGGGCCGAUACUGACGCUGAGGAGCGAAAGCGUGGGGAGCGAACAGG
rnacentral:rRNA from 1 species